GAUGAACGCUGGCGGCGUGCCUAAUACAUGCAAGUCGAACGCUGAGGGGAGGAGCUUGCUCUUCCCGGGUGAGUGGCGGACGGGUGAGUAACGCGUAGGUAACCUACCUGUUAGAGGGGGAUAACUACUGGAAACGGUAGCUAAUACCGCAUAACAUUAGAUGUUGCAUGAUUCAUAAGUAAAAGGUGCGAUUGCUGUACUACCAGAUUGACUUGCGGUGUAUUAGCUAGUUGGUGAGGUAACGGCGCACCAAGGGGACGAUACAUAGCCGACCGGAGAGGGUGAGAGGCGACACUGGGAGGGAGACACGGCCCAGAGUCCUACGGGAGGGAGCAGUAGGGGAUCUUCGGCAAUGGGGGGAAAUCUGACCGAGCAACGCCGCGUGAGUGAAGAAGGUUUUCGGAUCGUAAAGAUCUGUUGUAAGAGAAGAACGAGUGUGAGAGUGGAAAGUUCACACUGUGACGGUAUCUUAACAGAAAGGGACGGCUAACUACGUG
rnacentral:rRNA from 1 species